rnacentral:lncRNA from 1 species
CCGGAGCCCGGGCGGUUGUCCCCGUCUCCGCCGGUGAGGAGGUGUGGAGGCGCCUCACCGCGAGGGCUAUUAGCCACCCGCCCCUCACCGCCCCUAGCCGGGAAGCGCCGGCACCGCCCCGGCGAAGUCAGGGACAGCCGCGGACUUGUGUGCCUCGCAGCCUCGGCUUUGGAUUUUAAGGGCACGGAGGAGAGAAUUAACCGCGCCGCAAGAUGGUGUUACCCUUGAAUAGGGGACCCUAGAGAUAUCAUAUAUCACAGAAAACCCAUUAUGCUGCCAGCCCUUAGAGAAGAAAUUGAAAAUGCAUGUGAAGCAAUUUCAAUGACCAAGGUCACAUAAGUAGCAGUUCACCAUACUAACAAAUGUCUGGAAGUUAAUGGCCACCACUUGGAGCAGCUCUUGUAAUUGUAAAGGCC